GACGAACGCUGGCGGCGUGCUUAACACAUGCAAGUCGAACGCUGAAGCUCAGCUUGCUGGGUGGAUGAGUGGCGAACGGGUGAGUAACACGUGAGUAACCUGCCCUCUUCUUUGGGAUAACGCCCGGAAACGGGUGCUAAUACUGGAUAUUCACUGAUUCUCGCAUGGGGGUUGGUGGAAAGGUUUUUUCUGGUGGGGGAUGGGCUCGCGGCCUAUCAGCUUGUUGGUGGGGUGAUGGCCUACCAAGGCUUUGACGGGUAGCCGGCCUGAGAGGGUGACCGGUCACAUUGGGACUGAGAUACGGCCCAGACUCCUACGGGAGGCAGCAGUGGGGAAUAUUGCACAAUGGGCGAAAGCCUGAUGCAGCGACGCCGCGUGAGGGAUGGAGGCCUUCGGGUUGUAAAACUCUUUCGCUCAUGGUCAAGCCGCAGCGUUGGGUUGUGGUGAGGGUAGUGGGUAAAGAAGCGCCGGCUAACUACGUG
rnacentral:rRNA from 1 species